UACGUAGGGGGCGAGCGUUGUCCGGAUUUAUUGGGCGUAAAGAGCGUGUAGGCGGUUCGGUAAGUCUGUCGUGAAAUCCUGAGGCUCAACCUCGGGCGUGCGAUGGAUACUGCCGGGCUAGAGGGUGGUAGAGGCGAGUGGAAUUCCCGGUGUAGCGGUGAAAUGCGCAGAUAUCGGGAGGAACACCAGUGGCGAAGGCGAAUCCCUGGAAAAUACCUGACACUGAGGCACGAAAGCUAGGGGAGCAAACAGG
rnacentral:rRNA from 1 species